AGUCCCUCCACCUGCCUGCGGCACACCAGAGAGAGCCACAGAGCGUCAGCCUCAGCAAACGCAUGAGGAAUCUCACGAGAGACGCGCCAGACUCACCUGAACAACUCCACGAUACUCUCUCCGGUCGCCUUCACGUCCUGCUCGGACAUCAUGCUCAGGAUAGCAGCUUUCUGAUACACGUAGAUGGCCUGAGACAGGAGAAAACAGCUGCUCAUCAUACUGUAUGUACAAUCCCAUCUGACGCCCAGACUGGUCAGGUGUGUUUGUGCAGUGGUUACCCAGUAUGAGGGAGACGUAAGUGUGGUAGAAGAGCAGCGUCAGGACACACAGGAUUGAUCUGAGACUGUGACUGCCGGCGCCGUCCCGCAGCUGCGACAGACCGAACUCCUGCAGGACAGACACCGUUAGUUCAACUCAUUCAGAGUCUGAAAAGCUUAAUUCUCCCAUCAGCAGUUACUCACUCGAUUCCCUGAGAAGCCGAUGAACUCCAGCAGUCGAAGGAUUCGUGCAGGUUGAAGGAGCCAAUCCCCAGCUUGACUCCGCCCUCAAACUGUCUGAAGGCCUCGCUGUCUCCGCCCACUCCCUGAGACAUGUUCAACACACUCUGGCAGUCCCUAAACACACACACACACACACUUCAGCUAGAGAACAAUAAAAAUAAUAAUAUCCAUAUAUAAUGUAUAUGUUCAAACAUAUUUUAUCUCGAUUAUUACUAAAUUGAUUUUUUGUAGUUCACAAAAC